rnacentral:lncRNA from 1 species
GAACCCAGGAGCUCUGUUUUAAGGCUGUUCACAGCACCAAGUCCUUUAGACUACUACAGAGGGAUUCUGUGCCACCUUCAAUACCAUUUUAAUGUGAUUUAAAAUGUUCUAAUGCCUCUGACAGAAUCUGACUCAGGCAAAUUUAGUGCAUUUAGCCACAAGUACCAGUGAACUCAGAAAGAUAACCAAUUUUAUCAAGGACCAUGAUUCUGUAAAUUGAAAUGCAAAGUAGAUAGUUAAAGGUAAAAUAACAUUUAAACUUAAGAGAGUUGCUCUCUGCCUCCACUUCAGUAAAAAAACUUUAUCUCACAAAUAAAGUGCCUGCUAAGAUGAUUCCUGUGAACUUUUCUUUCCAGGGGUUGCAUGGCAAACCAGGCCCCAGAGGACAGCGAGGACCAACAGUAAGUUCUUUUGAUUUGCAAUUUAGAAGGUUCCCUGUGUGAAUUGCAUUUACUAUACUGUGACAAAUUACUUUGAUUAGAUUAUAAUAUCCAGAAUUUAUCAUCAAGUGCAUCUGUGUUAAAUUGACAGGGUCCAAGAGGCUCAAGAGGUCCCAGAGGUCCCACUGGUAAACCAGGUCCAAAGGUAAUUGUCAAGCACACUGUAUAGAUUGGCUACAGGCUGUUUCUUUUAAAUAAAUGUAAAUCCUUGAACGUACUCUCUUUGCUUUCCAGGGCACUUCAGGCAAUGAUGGUCCUCCUGGCCCACCAGGCGAAAGGGGACCGCAAGGGCCUCAGGGACCUGUUGGAUUCCCCGGACCAAAGGGACCUCCAGGUCCACCUGGAAAAGAUGGCUUGCCUGGGCACCCAGGACAGCGGGGUGAGACUGGUUUUCAAGGAAAAACUGGUCCUCCUGGUCCUGGUGGUGUUGUUGGCCCUCAGGGUCCUACUGGUGAGACUGGACCAAUUGGUGAAAGAGGCCAUCCAGGUCCCCCUGGUCCCCCAGGUGAACAAGGCCUGCCAGGUGCUGCAGGAAAAGAAGGUGCUAAGGUAUGGUGUGGCUUUGGGGAACAAACAGGAAGGGACAGAAGACUGACAGUGUGACAUUUCAAAUCAUCAUGAAGACAUGCAGAAUGAAAUCAGAACAUACAGUGUAAAA